UCAACCUAAUUUAAUUAAAGAAGAUCAGAUUUCACCCGCUUAGAUAGUUGCUAUUCGAAUCAAGGCCCAGAGUGGCCCAGAGAGAUGAAGAAUGCUGGGAAUGUCCUUUCCUCUUGCCCAAACUAUUUUAAGAGAAAUUUAUGUUUUUCUCCUCCAAGAAGCAAAAAUUUCAAGGUUCAUGUCGGCGACUUCCAUCCACUGACUUAUAAACUGAGCCAGAGUUUAUGUGGCUAAAUUACAGGGCAAAACCUCCCUCAUUCAUUACUCUGGCCUCACUUCUGUCCACUGAGAGUUGAACCGUCCUUCUGAGAAUGGGGGUUGAUCACCUUGGAGAGAAACAAUUUCUGUCCAGGAUAGCAAGGUAUCAUUUCCAAUUGAGCAUGCAAUAUAAGCAGCUAAGAAAUACAGGCUGACCUUGUAUUUAUAAAUUAAAAAUGCAGUGCUUAGUUUAAGUAACAACCUAUUAAGAAUGGGUAUAUCGUACAUCAUUGAAUUGCUUAUGGACAUCUUGGCUGGAGAAAAUUGUUCCAAGUGGCAGUUUGCUAGCCCGGAUUACCCAUCUGCUGGUCCCUCAAAAUCCAGGCUACAUUCCUACAGAUGGCUUCUCCCCCAGACCCCCCUGGUCAGCGAUGGUGUCCUCCUUGGAGCCAACCACUCUCACAGGUAGUUAAAAGCACUCAGAACUGUCACUGCAAGUUCCUCAAAAAAAAUUUCACUGGGUCCCAGCAAAAUGAUAACAAUAAAGACAAUAUAGUGGAUUUUUCCUAAAGCUAAAUGUGCUGAUUCAAAGGCUUCCCUUUUGAUGUUUUUUUUUUUAAUGAAUUCAUGGUAAUAGCAUGAUUGAUUUUUUUAAAUGACCUUAUUCCACAAGUAAAAAGUUGGCAGUCCUAUGUGGGUCCUUAAAUUUUCUUUUAGAGAACAUAACUGGAUUAUGAAACCAGUUGUCUCUUGGCAAUUAAAAAUAUACCACCUGGACAUUCAUCCAUAUGUUGGAGCAACCAGAAAUGCUUUUCUGUUGUUUUAAGAAACCCCUGCUUUGGCCCUGAACCCCUCCCUGGACCCACUCUGUCAAGUGAGCAGGAAAGUUCCUCCAAUAUCAUAAAGGUUCUCUUUCCUUCACCAGUUUGGUGGGUUAUCAAAUGCUGUGACUUUGUGCUUAACUGGAUAAAUGGACUAACUUUAGUUCAGGUACUUGCUGGGGAGUCUAAUUUUGAGCUCACUGCUGUUUUGAUCAUUGCUGUUAUCAAAAGCUUGGUUCAGUUCUUUCAUUCAUUGCUUCAUUUGACUAAUAUUUACCAAUCACCUUCAACAUACCAGGCACUACCCUGAGUGUUGGAACUUCAAAAUGAUUGCCUUUUUAAAGUUCAUGGUCUAGACAGGAAAACAGACUCAUCCCAUAAGAUUAUAUUACAAUGUGAGAAAUGCAGGGUGAUGAUGGAGUUAUGAACAGAGAAUCAUGGCAACUCCAAGGAAGCACCUAAAAGAUUGUCAGGGGACCGUAAAAGGCGGCUUCCCAGAGAUGGUGAAGCCCAACCGAGAUCUCGGCUUGUUUCAGUUCUCAAACACGCUCUGCCCAUUUCACUACAAGGCCCUUGCUCAGGGCAUUUCCCUGCCUCAGAAGCUCUUCCCUUCCACUCCUCUACCUCCGCCUCUCCCCAUUUAAAACACCUCUUCACCAGAGAAGGAUUGCUUGACCUCCAAGACUAGGAAGUUUCCCUCUGCCUUAUGUGCUAAUGGCACCCGUUCUUUUCCUUCAUAGCAUUAAUCAAAGUUACCACCAGACAACUAGUGAGUCACUUUUACUAUCUGUCUUCUCCUACAGAAUAAACACCCCAUGAGGGCAAGGACAUAUUUGAGGCCAUGAUUUUCUGUUCGUCACCACAUCACCGGUUUCUAGUACCAUUCCUUGCAUGUAGUAGGUGCUUAACUAAUAUUUAUAAAAUAAAUUAAUAACUUUAAGAUAGGAGUUAGUCAGGGAAAGAUGAAGGGUGGGGAAGAGGGUGGAAAGGGUAAGACUAAGAUAAGGAUGCUGGGCAGAAAGAACACCAUAAGCCAAGUCCUGAGGCAGCAAAUCCCCUGAAUUAUGCCUGCACAACCAAGGCAGGGUUUGGCGUGACUAGACUGUAAAGAUCAAGGUCAGAGCAGGGAGGGCCUUGCAGGCCAUGCUAGGAAGGAACAGUCACAAUCUCAUAUUGCCCUGUGCAUACACCUGUCACUCUGAGCUCCUACAUUCAUUCAACAAAUAUUUAAUGAGUAGCUACUAUGUGCCAGAUACUAUGCCAGGCCCUGGAGAUUCAAUGAGUUUUUCUUAUUUGGAGCUUAAAUUUUAAUGAAAGUUCCUUUCCUGAGGGUGAGGCCUGUGUUUUGUUUGUUUUAGGACCUGCACAGUGCCUAGCACAGUGUCUGACAGGUAACAGGCACCCAAACUUUGAAUGAAGGAAAGAAGGAAUGAAAGAAUGGAGGUAGUGAAAUGGCAGAACAAUCCCUGAUGCUAACAGAAUCAAAGGCAGGGGGUCAGUCAGGAGCCGGCUAGUCUGGCCUUGCACUAGCCAGGCCCUGCCCUGUUCCCCACUCCCUGCACUCUGGGGGUCCCGUGCCCACCUGCCUGCUUCUCAUUAUCCCCUUGGUUCCUGCAUGAGGCCCCAUCAGAGACCAAAGCAGAGGCAGUGUCAGUUCAUUUGCUGCAAGGGGAAAGCAGAGGAGGAUGUGCCCUUCACUCCAACUGUCCAGGCUACACAGAGGGAAAAUGACCCCUGCUGUCUAAGUUGGAUCCUUGACUGCAUUUUCCCCAAAGACAUAUUCCUAGACAUAGCAGUUAGGUUCGCUAGUACUACCACCACUGUAUUUCAGACAGAUUUUUGGCCACACAAAAUUCUGAGGGUUGGCUUGGGGACCUAAACACCUUCUGUAACAAUCUUUUUCUAAGGAAAUGCUCUUGUGAUUUCUAAUGCCGUGUUGUAGACUUUCCAAAGCUAAAUAUAAACUGCUUGUAUUGCAUGCUCCCUAUGGCCUGUACUCUUGGCCCAGGAAAAACACUUGAGGCAAGGACUGUGCCCCCUUGGAAUCCUCUACAAAGAACUGUACAAAGGCCACGACUCAACACCAUGCCUUGCUCAUCCAUGUGUGCUGAGUAAGAGGGUAGGAAGUGAACUUGGGUGUCUAAUCUGAUCUUGCCCACAGCAAUUUUGGAAAGUUUUGACCAUGAAUGCAAAGGGCCAUCGCUGUCAUGCUGCCUCACACCCAAGGUUUCUGUAUCUUAACUCAAGCCUUUCACCGCAGAGAAGACAUUGUAGACCGUGAACUCCAGUCCGUUCAGGGAGGGAUAUCUCAUUACCCAUGGCCCGCAGCCCGGACUAUCAGUCUCCCAUCAGGAGCAGCUUGAAUGGCAUUGGCUCACCCUGAACUUCUGCAUUUGGCUCGUGGCCCUGAGGGGAGACUUUGCAUGUUUGACUUUCUUGAGCUCUUCACACAUUUGUCUUUAACAAGUUUACUGCUGGUGCACUUGGGAGAAAUUACCUUUGAGCAUUUCACCUUAACUGAUCUUUUUUCCCCUGCCUUUUCUUUUUAGCCGUUUGCUGCCUUAUUUUCAGCCUUCACCACAGAAUUUGGUGCAUUCAACGUUCAACUUCCUUUUUUUUGCAUUGACAUUGCUGUUCUUCACGCCCCUUUGGUUUGCAGCAUACCCUUUUCACCCUAAUUUUUGCUUGUAAAAGCUGCAUUUCCUCUCCAGUCUAUCAUCACCUCUGUAAACACCAAGUCUGGAUGUGUGUCCAGAUGAGCCCCAGAGAUCUCCUCCAGGCCUCUCCACGCAGAGUGCUUGUGUGCUUAAUAUCUGCAAAGCCACGUUCGCUGCCUUGAGCGAGGAGACGCAGGGUCAGGCACGGCAGCAACGGAUGUUCAUCCUCCCAACACGGUAUCAGGCAACAUGUUUGGCCACUACAGUUGUCUCACAGCAGCUAAUUCAGAAGCCAGCUCUGGCUGCCGUGCGUCCGUGAUGGGAAAUGCCUCCAGUCCUACGCUUGCAAUCAGGUCAACCAAAGGUUCACUUCCCAGCACAUUUGGAAGAAUGGCCUUCUUUUAAAAGUUGGAAAAACUGAGUCAGAGAGAGGUGAAGAUGAAGUUCACACAUCUGUCAGCACCAUCAUCAACAUUACCAUCAUGUCUCUUGUCUGUAAUAAAUGGUGAAUAGGAUAGACAAGAUUUCUAGAAACAUGUAUUUCAUAAAUGUGGACAAAUUAUUAAGGACAAAUAUAUUAAUGUGAAAUAACUUAAUAGAUGAAUUACAUGUAAUUUGCAUUUUUCGCAAGUAAAUAAUAGUAAUAUCUAUUUGCUUAGCCUUAUACAGCUAAAAAAUGUUUCCCGUAUAUGAGCUUAGAAAAAGUUCUUAACGUGAGUAAAUAUGGGCAUUCCCUGUUCAGAGAAGAGUAGAGUCAUAGAGCGUGUCUGGGCCAAAGUUCCUGGGCGAGUGGGUGCCAGAAUCAGGACUAAAACUCUGCCUUCUAACCAGAGACCACCUCCUCUUUAUUUCCUCCUGCUUCUGUGAGCAGGAAGGCGAUACAGGAACUUCAUGUCGAGAGCCUGGAUUAAGUGACAUUUCACUUCAUGGAGAAGUCUUCCUAGAGGGAUUUGAGAAGUUCUAGGGAACCUUGUUAUUUUGAGACAAUAUGUUUUCUUCAAACCAAGGAACACCAUUUGAGGACGUUUAGUAAAAGAAGUUCUGGGGAAAGCCCAGUGGUGGCAGGAGUGGUGGUGGAGGACUUUCCCCACUUGUCAUCUUCCAUUUACAUUUAGAUAAGGCCUGGUGGAGAAUUGUAUAGCCAGUUGCAAGGAUAAGUUUAAGUUGGUGUGAUCUGAAACACAGCCAGUUCAUUUCUUUCUAAAAGGCAGAGGCACGGUAUCUAAGACUUGUAUCUUGAAAUGUAUGUGAGAACCUUCUAGCCCUGAGAGUUCCCAUCAGGUUAGGAGGUCACAGCUCUUCGAACACGAACCGCAGCUUCGCGAUCAGUAUAAAAGUCUACAAUUACAACCAUUCUUUGGAAUCCUCUCAGCCAACGAGGACAUUCCUUGGCUGGUUUAGAAAAACCAGUGCAGAUCUGCACUGGGAAAGGAAUGCAGUCUGGAAGAAUGGCCAAUGAUUUACAGAUUAAGUCUCCUAUUAACUAAGAAAGAAUAAGGAAAGGAGGUUUAAAAACUGUUCUGCCACCCCGCCUCGAAAAUGUUUACAGGAGAAGCAGUGUGAGUGACAAGGUGGGGAGGUGGCAGAAGCACUGAAUGGGACACAGAACUGAAUGGUGGAACCAGGAGUGACCUGGCAUCGUCAUCGGGAUCCCUUAGGUCUUCAUAGCAGCUGUGACUUUCGGAGAUGAUUCAGUACUUAGUAUCUCGAUGGGUUAAAGAUUAUUAAAGACUCUGUGGGUCCAGGCAGAGAGGCACCGUUUCCAACUUAUAGAUAAGGACACUGAGUUUCGGCGAGGUUAGGCGUUUUAUCCAGGCAAGUCCGAAGUGGAGCCUCCUGGUUUCGGGGCCUGACUUCUGAUUGCCACUAGGCGCCUGCCUCCCCGCAGGAGGAGGAAGUCUUGACCCGUAACCUGGGGAAAUGGGAUUGCCCGAGUGAGGCGUGAGGAGGUGGAGUUUCUCUAACUGCUCCUCAGAGAAGGAUGCUGAGUGGGGAAGACAGUGGCUGGCAGGCCUGGUGCCAGGGACUCCGGGAGGAAGGGGCUGGAGAGGUCCAGGAGAAACAUGGGCAGGAACUGGACUGAGACAGCGUUUGAAAGAUGAACAAGGAGAUGGAAGUUUGGAGAUGGAAAGGAAAAGGCAAGCUCCAGCAGUUGACAAUGGAAAGGCAACGGCCUGUGGGAAAUAACUCAGAGAUUUCCUGCUUGUGAAGCCAGUGCUGUGCUGCCAUGGCCACUGCUCCUGGCAGGUGACAGGGAGAGAUGCCUUGUGCCAGGCGUGUCGGGGGCCAGGAGGGCCCAGAACUCCUGACUCGGGUGUCAGAGGAGGUGUCCGAGGCCCGCCCCGCGCUCACCUCCUGGAUGUUCUGCUUCGCCCGGCUGUCAGAGGGAUGCAUAAUCGUCCCCAUCACUUUCAUGUUGCCACAGACAACCAGGGCUUCGUCCGGUGCAUCUGUGUUUAUGCCCACUCGACCAUGACAAACAACAGAUUCUGGAACUUGUCCUCGCUGCCAUAAUGCAUCAAUGUCAUUUUCAAAUUGCCCAGGGUUGGAGGCCUGGAGAAAAUACAUAAAUAUAUUACAAUUAAAGUUAUAGAUGCAGGAAUAGAUGAUCGCUUUAUUCCCCAAAGGAAAACAGAAUGUUAGCCAAGUCUUUCACUUGAGAAUCACAUGUUGGAUGGGACACUCUGACAUAUCUGAAUAACUGUGACCCCAGGAGAGCCAGGGAGACUCUCCUAACUGUUCUGCCCCCACCAGCAGAAGCUCAGCGUGUCUUGGUUUGCAAUGUCCAGUCUCUAUAUGGAAUUGAGAAUGUGUCAGUUAUAGUAGGUGGAUGAUAAGGAGAAGAAGAACACUCAAAAUGAGUAUUUUUUCAGGGAGAAUAAUAAUAAUGAUUUAAAACCAGAAUAUUACAUCAGAAAAUCUCACAAGUUUAUUAAAGCUCAGAUAAUUUCAAAAAAAACCCUUGCAUUUAGCUAGCCCUUCCAUAGUUUCAAAACACCUUCAUGUUUAUGAUUUCAUACACAAUUGACAAGCAAAUGACAAUACAAAUAUAUUUAGUACACCUCAGCUAUUCCCUAAACACAGAUGAUUCUGACAGAAGAACUGUAACAGCUGCAUUUGCUGUGUGCUAAUCCACACCCCAAUUCCAUGCGAAAGGACCAUUAUCUUCCUUUUACUGACGCUGAGACUCUGAAAGAAUAAACAGAUUGCCCCAGGCCACAAAGCUAAUGAGUUCUAGAGCUGCGAUUAUGCUUCCUUUGAUGAUUAAAUAAUGAUUCUAACUUUGAGUUUUGUGGUAUUGCCUAAAAAAGCCCUGGCCAAAUGCAGUCUUCAAAGAAAAUCCAAGUGAAUCUAUUCGACUAGAGAAAGUUCUGGAGAUUUUACUGUUAAAUAAAUUUUUUUUGCCAAAGAA